UUGAGAGCAGUGGAGAGGAAAAUGGUCCCCACGGGCGGACUUUGGCUUCUGGAGCCGCGGGGCUCGUCCGUCCGUGCCGCCCAGAGCCUCCGUCUGCUCCUUUCCCCGGACUUCCAGAAGGAAGAAUUACCCUCCUCACCCUUCCCCCGCCUCCCCACACCCAUCCUCCCUCGCCCGCCGGCCCCUUUCCGCACCUCCUUUUCCCUUUAAGUGAGAAAAGCCUAGUUCCCGAGCCAGCGGAGUCGGUCCCCUCGCCCCUCCCGCUCCCAUGCCGGUCCCCCCCUCCAGCCAUCGCUACUGCCACCACCUCGGUUCCACUCAAUCGAUUUUUGCUGCAUGUCAACAUUUAUUACCGAAGAGCUAAGAGAAGUUCAGACUCAUUGGACCCUCCCUGAUCAGGCUAUGUGUCUGCAUCCCCUGACUUUGAUGGAUCCUUCUAGAGCCAGUUCUCCUAUUCUUCCUGCAAAAAUGUUUAAGGUUAGUAGGAGCAGCUGCAGUUCCAGAAGGAGUCGCUGCCCACAGGGUCCGGAACAUAGUUUGGGCGGACAUCUCCGGGAAUCCGCCGCCAGCCCUGACGCUCUGGGUGGACCCUGGGAGGCAAGGCUGUGUGGGUAAAGAAUGGAGCACCCCAGGCCGCCAGGAGCCAGAGGCGAGCCGCGAGGAGGGUGACACAGGGGAUGCGGGUCCUGAUCCCGAGACAGACUCUGAGCAAAGCCCCGGCCAGCGAUCUGGCUGAAAUCCCAGGCUCAGGUGCCAGCCUAGCCCCCACUCCCCCGGACCCUGUCACUCCUACUCUCUGACCUAUUUGUUUCUUUAAACAUGAAUAUUAGAACGUUACAGUGGUACUUCAGCACUGACUUAUGUGCCCAGUCAAAUGUACAGAACAUAUGAAAAGAUAACAGCUGGAGAAGCAGUGAACCUCCUGAAUUCUUGUGCCCUCACCUGGAAACAUUAGCAAAUCCCUGAAAAGGAAGGUCAUUUCCUUCCUGUAUCCCGUCUCUUUCCUUCUCCCUCAUUCAAGAAAAGAGAGAAAGUAGGUGCAAACAAGAGAAAGAUGUGAUGUUACAAGAGCUUUCAGGAAUUGCCAACCAACGCGAAGAAAAAUUCUUGUACCUCUUAAGAAGACUGGUGUAUUUCUAUGCAAAAUAGCUGCUUUACUCAAAAUAGAGUGCCUAACCUAUAGUAACUUCUCAGCAAAUAUUUUUUGAGCAGGUAACCCCCUCCCCUUGGACCCUCCUUCUGACCUGUUCAUUGAAGCAGCACCAUUUUUACUGAGAGCAUUCACCCGAAUCUUUGUAUUUAGGUGUGCAAUCAAGUAGCCGUGGUGGUGUGUAUGUCUGGGGUGAACUCUGCCUCAUUCCACUACUCUUAUGCUCAUGUCUUAGCUUCUUCAAGGUCACCUGCUAUUCACAGCCUGUAUAGUGAUCCUGAGAGUUUCAGGGGAUGGGGGAGAGAGGCAACUGAGAUAUUGGGGAACACGGUUUUCAGACAAUCAGCAAGGCAUCAAGCAUGUGGUGAGUACUAUGCAUGUGUAUUAGUUGGAUAUUAAACAGUUCCAGAAGAAAUGGCUUUGAGCUUAAGAUGUAGUUAAAGGAUGUCAUCACUUCAUGUAGUGUCAAUGCUCUAACUUUAGUGCAUUCAAUAUUCUAUGUGGUUCUCUUAGAGCAACAGAGCCCAAGUUUGUCAUCACUCAGCUUUGUGUUACCCCUCUUCCCCAAGAAAAAGAGAAUUGACUCAAAUGUUCUAUCAGUUAGCUCCUCAGAGAGAAUGAACACAUCAAAGCAAAUAAAUAAAAAGAGGUAUGAAUCAUACUCAGUUGCCCUCCAGUGACUUAGAGACAUAGAAAAACAUAGGUAGAUAAAGGACAUUUACUUUUAAAGGUGUGCGUGGUUGGAAAAGGGGGUAUUAUAAAGGGUAUUGCAGUGCUCAAACUGUCUUCUCCCCCACCAAAUUACCAUGUUAUCUGACACCCUCAAUCUAUUUGUGUCCUGAGUAACAGACAGUUUGACCAAAAGGUCCUAGACUAGAGGGCUUGGGUGAUUGGAAACAAGUUUGACAAGAAAGGAAUCUGGGUGGGUAGAAGUGGAGAGAGGAUGAGGCCACAGUGGCUGGAGAAGCCCAGCAACUGUUAAGUCUCUGCCAGACCCUGCAUUCACAUGAAAUGCCUUGUCAGAGAACAGGGGAUUAGGAAGAGCUAUCAAUACAGCUUCAUGGGUGGGAGAAAUUUACACAUCUCUCCACAUCCCUUUUCUUUGCCUUCCCUUUAUUUACUACCUUCUUCGUGUCCUCCUCCUUUUUGCCCUUCUCCCAUCUCAGGAGACUCUCCCCAGAAUUCUAAAUGCUCCUGGAUUAUCCUUGGCUUGUCCCCUCUUUUGAGUUAAGACUUCAGAUUGUUUGCAGUGUUUACUCUUCCAGAUAUGAAACGUUGUUUUAUCCAAUCCAGAAUUUACCUGUAAACCAUUUGUAUUCAUAAAUAUGGAGUGCUUGUAUAAAUAAUAAAGGUGUCAGGGCCAGUAAGUAAAGCAUGCAAUAUGGGAAUCUGUAUUUUCAUAGCAACAGAGGGACUGUACUUUGCACGUUCUUUAAUAAAGCCCCACUGCAUGUUGGGUAUCCUGGAAGGGUCAGUGAGCACACUCCUUUCAUUCCAGGCAACAUUACCCUUAGCAUUAUGACUACCAAAGUGGUAAAUCUCAGCUUAGUUUACUAUUCUUAGUGUGGAAGCUCCUUCUCUGCCUGAAAUCACCACCUGUAGAUUUGCAUACAUUGUCAAAAUUAUGUGUUCCUGGAGAAGACAGAUACCGUCCUGUGUAGAGUUUAUGUGCUAAUAUAAGUUCCUUUCUGCAUCUUUCCAUAUAAAAGUAUUUCUCUUUCUUGUGUUAUGUCCUAUUGUUAUUAGCUCAAGCAGUAUUUUAUAGAGGUUUUUCUUCUUUUUAUGGUUGGAAAACACCUUUAUUGUCAUUCUGUAACUUUCAGAUUAGGACUUGGUAGAAAGACUUCUUCCUCCACAGAAGAGCUGCCACAUUUCUAUCCUCCUUUGAUUUCUUUUUUUUCUAAUUUCUUCCAACAUCUCUCCCAGAUGUAAGUCUAAAUCUCACAUCUCUCUCCCUUUUUAAUUUUUAAAAUUUCAGUUCUGGGCACUCAUUUUUCCCAUACCUGAAAAUUAUCCCUUGUCCAUACUACUCCUUUGUCGUUUACUAUGUGGAGCAUUUUAAUGAAUUAACAUUUGGGGGAUCAUUUUCUUUUAGGUUUUUUAUGGGAGCCUGGCAUAACAGUUGGCAAACAGUAGAUGUUCAAUAAAUGCCAACUGAUCAAACAGUAUAAUUAAAACUUUGUUCACAAAAAUCAAAGAUCAAAGACAUUAAAAUCUAUUUAAUUGGCAUGAAUUAAACUUCAGAUUAAUUCUAAUUAAUUUCUAAUAUUUUCUCAAUAAAUCAGAUAUUUGAAAGAAUUCUAUAGAAAAAAUUUCAGCUUAAACUUUUUUACCACCACUUCAUCUUUAUGUGAGAAUUUUUAGGAUAAUAAUUCAUAUUGUUCAUCAUUUUCAUUAAUGUUCAUAAGACA